CGGAGGUUGGCUGGAAAAGCUCUUGCACCCAUUAUUUCUACACUCCCAUCAGGCUCUUAGUUGCUCCUGGUCCAGUCUUUUACAAGAAGGUAGUGCAAAGGUUCCGAAUGUCCAUGCCCUACUUGCUGGGACAGACUUAAAAGUGGAAGUCAACAAAAGCUGCUUAGAUCUUACUCGAGAGAUUUGUUCACUCCUCUUUGUCAUUGCUUCGCCACGGCCAAAUAUGCUUCCAUCCUUGAAGCACUCUGGGCAAAUCAGCUGAGUCGAUCUAUCUUCUCUCAAAGCUUUAGAUUCUUUUGCAUCGAGCUCUAUGGUUGGUUUCAUUUUGAAGCACCAAGCUCUUGCCCUUCCAGCACUACAGAUAUGUUUACAAGCUUUUACAUGGACAAAUGGUGAAGCCAUGACAAAAGUUUCUUCCUUGUGGUGCUUUGUUUGUUCUAGCUAUAUUCGCAAAUAGUAUGGAACUCCAAUAAUUUGUUUCUAAGGGUCACUUUUCUACAAUUAUCCAAGGUAUAGCCCUUGAAUCAAAUGCUUUCAUCAGUGCUGAUUUGGUUGGUCACUAUCGUGACAUGUACAUAUAUCUUUGUGAUAUACAUCCCGCUCCUAGGCAGGUUCUGCUCUCACUUCCUUGCACCAAACAGC